AAUACUCCUUCAAUUUCAAUACCCUAAUUCAAAAUGUCAUGAGCCAGUGUUCUAUUUACCGAGUAAACAGAUCUCAGCAAUCCAAGUUCCCCAGUUAUACUAUCUUAAUCCUCUGUAAGAUUAUGCUGUCUGUUUUGGGAUAAGAUGGUUCAAGAAAGAGUGGGUAUGAUCUGGCUUAAAAGAGAAAGAAAGGAGGAGGAAAAAAAGGAGAUGUGGACAUGGUACAAUAGCUAAUAAGAUAAACGAAUUUUGAUAAUAAGGUAAAAGGGUUUUCUUGAUUUUAAUGUUUUAGAUAUUCAGUGAGAAAAUUUGGUUUGUGUAGGAUCGUCAAGCGUUGAAAAGAUG
rnacentral:lncRNA from 1 species